AGAGUUUGAUCCUGGCUCAGGAUGCCGUAAGGGGGCGUGCCUAAUACAUGCAGGUCGAACGAAGACCCUUAAAAAUACGGCCUUAGUGGCGAACGGGUGAGUAACGCGUGGGUGACCUGCCCCGAAGUGUGGGAUACCAGUCCGAAAGGACUGCUAAUACCGCAUAACAUCCAGGAGAUUAGAACCUGCUGGAUUAAAGGAGUUUUUCGCUUCGGGAGGGGCCUGCGUCCCAUCAGCUAGUUGGUAAGGUAAUGGCUUACCAAGGCGAUGACGGGUAGGGGACCUGAGAGGGUGGCCCCCCACAAUGGAACUGAAACACGGUCCAUACACCUACGGGUGGCAGCAGUAGGGAAUAUUAGUAAUGGGCGAAAGCCUGAACUAGCAACGCCGCGUGUGCGAAGAAGGCCUUCGGGUUGUAAAGCACUUUUUGAGAGGACGAGGAAGGACGGUACUCUCAGAAUAAGUCUCGGCUAACUACGUGCCAGCAGCCGCGGUAACACGUAGGAGGCGAACGUUAUCCGGAUUUACUGGGGAG
rnacentral:rRNA from 1 species